CGGGGAGCGGGGUGGAGCGGGGCGGUGAUCCCGGCCGCAGUGGGACGGCCAUCCCCGGGGAGCGGGGCGGUGAUGCGGGCCGCAGUGGAGUUGCGGCGGAGGGCGGGCGCCGUGCGCUGCGAGCCGCUGUCACUCGUCACGGCCACCGCCGUGCCCUUUGCUUCUGUCCACGGGUUUCGUCACUCUGGGCUUCCCGAGGGCAGCUGGGUCUGUCCCGUCGUGCAGUUUCUUCCAUGGAAACCGCAGUGACUUUUGUGCACCAGCUGCCACGUCCCGACCCUCUAACCCGAAAGGCUGCGCCUCGCACCCCGCGCCCACGCGUGGAGACAGGGAUUUCUGCUCCCUCGGCAGCGCCAAGGAUAUGCAUACAGCCACAGGAACCAGAAUAAAGAAAAGAGAGCACAUGUUACAUCAUCUGUGUGGGACCCAUAUCAGGUUACCUAACUGAGCUUUGAGAACUCAUCAUACUUACCAACAUUUAAUGCAGAGUAUAACAUACUCUGUUCAUCUUGUUUUACAGUAAAACAUAAGACUUGUAUCACAUCACAACACUGUGCCUGAGUCCCUGUUUCUUACUACUGUGCUGCAAAAGUCUGCAUUCUUAUGCAAGGCUUAAGCCACAGUUGACCCAGAUCAAAACAUUUGUGACCAGUCUGUUCCAUAUUAUAAAACCAACCUUCAAUUAAUUGUUUGGCAGAAUAUUCAGAAGAAUCCUACCUACAGAGGCUUUGGCAGCACAAGAAAAGUAAUGCAGGGCAAGGCAGCUAAGGCAGCUUACCACCUUGAAGAUAACAAAAUGAGAUUCUUUUAUGUUUGACAGACUCUGGUUCAAAAUAUCUUGCAUUUCUCAACAAUCAACAGAGACUGCUAUCAGGAGUCUCACAAUGGAAUGUAGAAGAACAAGACUGGGGAUCUAGGUGACUAAGGUUAGGAGAUGUUUACUGUUAUUGUCAUGAUGUUUGCAGAUGAGUAGAUGUUAGGCAACUUGGAGGUCAGUGUCAAGCUACAUCUGCAAAAAUGGUAUGCAAGAACUGUAAGAAAUUGUGUGUAAGAAAUGUAUUACAGGAAGUAAUUGAGAUAGCUGAGAUCUUCUAAGAAACUAAUAAACAGUGGGACAGGUAAUGUUUUUUUCAGCUCAUUAAAUUUAAGAAAUACUAGGAAUAACUUAAUUACAGAUUUUGGUGACUCUACAUAAUUUCUACUUCUCAUAAGUUUUAAAGCAAAAAAAAAAAUUAGAUACCAAGAUAUUUUGUGACCUAGACCUUAAUAUGACUUGGCUCUUAUUUUCUGCUUUUCAUAGGGGAGAAUAGAAGACAAAAGUGCUAAAUGUUUAUAGAUAAAGGAAAAAAGGGAAAGGCCUGUUAGAAGGGCAUAAGCUCAAGUGGGAAUGAGUAUGGAGAUGAAAGAAGCAGAUAUUUGAGUUCAUGAAGCUUCUUAAGUUUGGGAACACUUUACAAAAGAAAGUAAAUCAGUUUGUCAAAACUGGUUGUCUUUACUGCAGGACUUGGUUUCACAAUGACAUAAAGAAUAAAAAGAUUGAACCAGUGACCACUGAAUUAAUUCAUGGAAAUACCAUGAAGGACAGUAUACUCUCAAAAUCACAAGCGAUGUAUUGCCCCAGUGGUAGAUUUGCUUUUUUUAUGUCCAGGAGUAUCCUGGUCAGAAGGCACUGACCUCUGUUCUGUUUAAAGGAGUGAUUUUGUUAGUUUUCAACCUAUGAGGGAAAAAAGUUUUUCACCUUUGCAAUAACAUCAGAAAGAGCAGAAAAUGAAAAUUAUUGUCCUAGUGACUGACAUUGCAGGGAGGAUGUAAUGAAGGAAGUAGCUACAAUGUUUUUCUGUGCAUGCUAAUUAUAAUUUUUAAGAUCAUUUACUUCUUUCCUUCCCUGGACUUGCUGUUCCAGCCUUGAUCACAGAGUAAGCAACAGGUGAGUAAACAAGAAAGAUUCUGGUGAAAAUUCCUUAUUACUAAAAGGAAUCUGUAUUUUGUAAUAUUCCCGCUGCCAUCAAUAUGUGAUGCACAUUCAAGGCAUGCCUGUGACAGCACUGUCAUCUGUAUAAGGCAACUACUCUUUCAACAGCAAUCUUCUACUUCUUCAAUAGCAAUCUUACUACUGCCUAUUAAAGAAAUAGCCCUAAUAAUUGCUCAUGUCUGCCACUGCAAAGAAAUUAU